GACGAACGCUGGCGGCGUGCUUAACACAUGCAAGUCGAACGAAGUGGCGAACGGGUGAGUAACGCGUAAUCAACCUGCCCUACACUAGAGGACAACAGUUGGAAACGACUGCUAAUACGUGUAGGAUGAGGCUAUAUUGUAUCAGCUAGUUGGUGAGGUAAUGGCUCACCAAGGCUAUGACGCAUAACUGGUCUGAGAGGAUGAUCAGUCACACUGGAACUGAGACACGGUCCAGACUCCUACGGGAGGCAGCAGUGGGGAAUAUUGCGCAAUGGGGGCAACCCUGACGCAGCCAUGCCGCGUGAAUGAAGAAGGCCUUCGGGUUGUAAAGUUCUUUCGGUAGCGAGGCGUUAACUACAGAAGAAGCACCGGCUAACUCCGUGCCAGCAGCCGCGGUAAUAC
rnacentral:rRNA from 1 species